rnacentral:lncRNA from 1 species
AGUGGCCUGACUGCAAGGGCUCCCCCAGGGAAAACAGAAGCCGCUGCUAGGAUGAUAAGGAUAAAACAUAAUUAACAUGGCCUAAUUAGCCAGCAGGCGGCUGCUCCUGGGGCCCAGCUGCCUGUCCUGCUCUCUCUGCCUUAUCCCAGCCCCUUGGUUGACGGUCGCCUCAGAGAAGCCCUGGAUGAGGCUGAAGACACAUCUAACAAGGAGGACACAGCACAGCACAAAUGCACACCACCACAGGACACAACCCGAUGACAGCAGACAAAGAGAGGCCGUACUCGGUCUUUGCUGGCGCAGGCGAAACAGAGCUGUCUGCAGUGGAAGGAGCAAGCUCAGGGGCUUGUCCACUGGCCCCAGCGGCGGGAGCAGGAGAGCCCAGGGCUGCAAAAACAUCCUUUGCAAGGGUUCCAAAUGGAGAACGUGCAAUGAAAGGAAAGGCACCAGCUGAUGGCGCAGGGUGGUGCAGCUGCUGGGUCCCUGGGCUGGAGCAGAGCCCAAACCUCAGCAAGGUGGACAGGUCUGCACUCACGAGAAGGCGGCCUUGCCCUCCUCCAUGUCCUUGCCCUUGGCCCCGGGCCCGGCUUUUCCACACAGGUUGACCGCAAUGCACAUGAACAGGCCACACUUGUUCAGGAAGUAGCAGGUGAUGUCCACAACCACCAGGAGCAGGACGAAGAUGACGAUGAGGAUGCCCACGAUGGCCCCGGUGCUCAGGCCUGAGGAAUGACCCCAAAGGAGCCCUGCAUUAGAGCACACUGGGUUCAUAGUUUACCCUCCUCACUGCACCCCAGGAAGACAAGUGAAGCCUGGGUGACUCCAGAGACAUGGAGGCCUCCCCAGGCCAUGGGCAAGGUGAAAGGUCUGGGAAUACUCACCAUCUAGGAGCUCAGGCCUGCUUGGACCAGACUUCAGGAAAACCUGAAGUGAGUGCAGACUCACUCAGAGGUGCACACACACACAGGCACACUCACACGCAGGAUAAAUGCCCAUGCAGACAGGCAUGCACUCUCACAUUCUAGCACCUGGCACCCUGGUUCUGGCUGGACUCACUGUGAAAGACUCAGCCUGUGUCUUACUUCCCUGGUGCCCAUCUGCAAUCCCCCCAGGGUCUUUGGCUAUUGAUGGUUUCACAGAGAGACCUGGACUCAGCUCUCUGGGGCCCCUGGGAGAUCAACCCAUGGUUACGAUUGACACUAGUUGCCUGGGAUGGACCAAUUGACCUCUUGGUGGUUCCCAUCAGUGUCUGGGAGACAGUGGUCAUGAUGCAGGAAGCAAGGACCCAUGUGGAGCUCUGCCAUUAAGUCGAUGUGGGAACAAUCACCCUCGACUGAAAUAUGGGCACUUCUAAUUCAUCUUUCCUCCAGAACAACCUGCUUCCAUAACUGGCAGCCCUGCCCCACCAGUAGACUAUGUCUAAAGCUUCCUGUGCUCUCAGGGCCAACUGAAGCCACCCAGGACUGCAGACUGAAGAUGGGAACUGUAGCCAGCACUACCUGGGGCUCACCCCACCAGCCACCCCACUCCCAACCCAGCUCGCUAGGCUUUGCCAAGCACCAGGCCAGGCUCAGCAGCUUGCGAGCCAUGUAACAUGCCAGAUAGAUAGUGGAGGGAACAUGUAACUGAGUAACCAGCACCAGAGCUGGGCCACACAUUUUUUGUUUUUCAUGCAGCCUGUAUUUGCGGGAGGGUGGUGGUAUUGAUGGCUCUGUGUGCCCCAGGGGUCUCUGUCCAGGCACUCUAGUGCUUCUCUGGUGGCUGUCCCUCUCCACUGGUCCAUAUUUCAAACUUCAGUUUGGGGAAUGGGCCAUCAGCCUAGCAUGCCAGAGAGGAUCCCUCACAAAUGACUCCUGAGACCCCUGGGUGCAGCUCGUACAUGUUUUUAGUCCCUUUGGGACCUUGGCUUGCCUCCCAGCCCUUCCUCCUCAGGCUCUCUGGCUGGUCCCUGCUGACCUCGCACUGAAGAUCCUAGCGCAUUCCCCCAGGAAGGCUUGAGAUGGCGAAGAACUCUGCUUGGAGAACCCAGCUCUGGACACCUGUCUCUGGGCUUUGGCAGCAGGAAGCUGGCCACUGGCCUUAGCCGUCAGCUAGAAUGGGUCAUUUUCUUAGCAGCCAUGAAUGCAGAGGUAUUUCUGGUUAGUCUCAUAAGAACAAAACCAUCCACUUCCCCAGAGUCCUCACACAUUCCACCCAAAAAGCAAAGGAGACACAGGCCUUCUUGGUCUUCAGGAUCCCAUAGCUGUUUCCCUGAACAGGGAAGAAACUUUAGCCUUGGGUUUUCUCUCCAUUCCAUGACACAGGGCUCCAGGCCACUGCAGCUUCCGGACAUCAGUACCCGAUAGGUGUAAAGUGCCUACUCCCUGAAGAAAGAUCUGAAAGUAUUUUUUUGAUGACAGUGGGGAAUAUGUCUGGAUUUUUGGACUCAAUGGCACUAAUUAUAUCUUCUGAGGUUUAUGUGUAAAUAUGAUUUUGUGAAACUAAUCAUAUCUCUAAAGAGGAAAAAUAAACUCCUGCAAAGCUGCUCUAUGUGCUUGAGAGGACAGCAGCUGGGACAACUGCUCUGUGCUCAUCAGACCCAGCUGGAGGGCGGCACUGGCACUGCGCACAUCCAGGGGAGGGCCAGGCAGGGAAAAGGCUUCUGAACUGUGGCAUAAACAAGUAGGGCAGCGGCCUCCCCUUUCAUUUGAAUAUAAAAUUCAAAGUCUUUCUCCCGGCCUAAAAGGCCCACCAUCUGCUGCAGACUCUGCCCACUCCUCUGUUGGGCCUCAUGGCGUGAACCGGCAGCCUCCCUUCUGCCUGCUGAACACAUCCAGCUCAACCCGCUUUAGGGCCUUGAUGAUUCUGUGCCUGGAACACUCCCUCCAGGGUGGCUCUCUGUUGUCCUGCAGGCCUCAGUCCCAGUGUCACCUUCUCAGAGAAGCCUUAUCUGAUCUCUUAUCUAGUGUGGCACCUCCAGCCAAUACCUACCAUGCUGCUAGCCUGUUUUAUUCUCUUCUAACUACUAUCUGCCACUUUCUGUUCAUUUACAUGCUUAUGAUCUAGCCAUCCCCCCUAGGACAUCCCAGCAGGUACCCUGCCUGUCUCUCUUGUAUCUCCCCAGCAUCUAGGACAAUCCUGAUUCACAGAAAAUGUUCAAAGAAUACUUGUUGCACAAAUGGAUGAGUGUUUAGUCUGGAGACGAGAAUACUAUUUCCAAAUAUUUAAAGGUGUUAUAACCAGAAGGAAGAAGUAGUCUUACUGUAUAUGGCACCAAUGUGUGGAAAUUAUGGUGGUGGCAGAUUUUAGCUCCAUCUGAGAAAGGACUAAUAAACAGGGCGAAUCCAACAUAGUGUGGGCUGCUCUGAGAGGUGAGUUCCUUGAUGCUGAAGGCACUCGAGCAGAGGCCAGAAGACCCCUUGGCAGGGACGCUGUAAGGCUGUGGAUGAGGCUCCCACACUGGGCAGGAGCAUGGGUGGAGAGUGUCUCUUCAACCACAAGAGCCUGUCAUUCCAAGUCAUACAUUCUACACUGCCUGGCACACGGUACAGGUUCCCUAAUGCCAGUCUCCAGAGUGUGGACUGAGAAAGACUUUUUCCUGGAAGACCAAAAUGCUCGGUAGGUCCCAUAUUUAAUCACUGAUCCUUGUGAUUUUAUUUUUGCAUGACAAAUACCUUUAAACUCAAUAUAUCUCCACCUGUAGCAAAUUCCUAGGGUGUUUGUUAACAAUUCAGAAUCUGGGGCUCCCCACUUUUAUGGGAUCUGAAUCACUGGGUAUGAGGCUCAGGAAACAGGAGUUGAACAAGCAGCCCAGGUGAUUCUUAUGAGGACCACGCUCCUAGGUCUUCCCUCCCCUGCAUUACAAAGAGGAGCACGUGAUCCCAUGAUUUGCCACCCCAGGGUGCACUGUGCUGUCUCACCCAGUGACCCUGAAAACAAACUUGACCUAAGGUAUUGAGUGGAUCAAGAGAAAACAAAGAGUAUGCCCCAAAGGAAAAGCGACCAUACUGUAUGCCAACACUGAGUCUAAACUCCUCAAGCAGGUGAGAUGCUCUUUAAGCUAGGAAGAGAAUGUUUGUGGCUUUUACAAAAAAGAGGCUGUGAAGAAGGGACAGGCUGUGAAAUGGGCAGCAGGGUAUUGAAGGCGAAAGCCAACACCCAUUCCCUCUCAGUGGCUAUCACAGAAUUGUUUAGUCCAAGAUAACUAGAAGAACAAAGGCCAUCUCCUGCCUCUUGUGUAAUAUUUCAUAAAAGGAAA